ensembl:lncRNA
GUAACACAGUCUUAUUUAAGUUCCUGUGGCAAAAACUCAUUUUAGACAUUUUUUUUUCUUCUUUUUGUGCUUGUUCAUUUUCCAGUUACUGUUAAUGUACUGAGGGACAUGGUUUAGUGGGAAAUACUGAUGAUAGGUGGACGGUUGGACUGGAUGAUCCUAGAGGUCUUGGUGAUUCUGUGAUUGGCAUUAUAUUGGAUAAUGGAAAAAGUUAAAUCUGAUCUUUCAUCAUUUUGAUACUCACGGAACACACAUGAAUUAAAUUGCAAAGGCAUCUGUUACACCAUGAGGGACUCAGUGCUGCAAUAGGCACUUCGUGCUCACUUCUAAAAAACCCCUCUCAACCCAAUCCCUCUCCAAGUGGAAUACUCCAGAAGACAUAAGUCACGAAGCCCCAGAGCUCAGCCACUGCAUGAGGAAAGCUUUCGGAGUAUGGUGAGAAGUAGC